GCCAUUAGCUCAUCGGGAUAGAGCGCCAGCCUUCGAAGCUGGCUGCGCGGGGUUCGAGUCCCAUAAGCG
rnacentral:tRNA from 1 species